CCAAGUAUGCUGACCUCAUUUCUGAGGUGAUGCUGGUGUGGUGCUAGGUUUUGGAAAUAAACUUAGAGCAAACUUGCAUUUCACUGCUUUAUGUUGGUCUAUUCAAACCAUCAAAGAGAGGCAAAGUUACAAGAUAAAAAUGAUGUACUACAUGUGAAGCUUUCGCAACAGCGGCUUGGGCGUCUUAGAUAAGAGAGGCGGCAGAAGAAGUUGUGCACAGGCAAGGCCAAGAGCCCCGACAGCGAGAUCCCCAAGGUGUCAGAGAUGCAGGCGGCGGCCAUGGCAAACUCACGAUGCUUAUCGCUGGUCUGGGAAAAGCACAGGGCUCAGCAGGGCCUGGGGCAGAGGCUGGGAGCCCACAGCGGAGGGAGAAGCAGCAUUUGGGUACCUGCAGCAUGGCCAGAGCCCAAGUGAAGCGGAUGCGGCAGCAGCGGAGAGAAGAGCGGGAGGCGAACACUCCA